rnacentral:sRNA from 1 species
CUUUAUGCGUUAAGGAUGAAAGCGGCAUCCUUUUUUGUGCGCGCUUAUGCGCAAAAAAGAUAUAGCUGAGAGCCUGACCAAGU